rnacentral:rRNA from 1 species
GACGAACGCUGGCGGCGUGCUUAACACAUGCAAGUCGAACGGAAAGGCCCUGCUUUUGUGGGGUGCUCGAGUGGCGAACUGGUGAGUAACACGUGAGUAACCUGCCCUUGACUUUGGGAUAACUUCAGGAAACUGGGGCUAAUACCGGAUAGGAGCUCCUGCUGCAUGGUGGGGAUUGGAAAGUUUCGGCGGUUGGGGAUGGACUCGCGGCUUAUCAGCUUGUUGGUGGGGUAGUGGCUUACCAAGGCUUUGACGGGUAGCCGGCCUGAGAGGGUAACCGGCCACAUUGGGACUGAGAUACGGCCCAGACUCCUACGGGAGGCAGCAGUGGGGAAUAUUGCACAAUGGGCGGAAGCCUGAUGCAGCAACGCCGCGUGCGGGAUGACGGCCUUCGGGUUGUAAACCGCUUUCGCCUGUGACGAAGCGUGAGUGACGGUAAUGGGUAAAGAAGCACCGGCUAACUACGUG